UUGUUCCUGGGUCGCUGACUUUAGUUCCGCAGAAUGCCAAUGGACGGGGUCCAUACGAGUCUUUCAAUCCUGUAGGGUCUAAUGUAACUUUGUCUUGUAAUGUAACUGGACCAAAGAACGUAACCUUACAUUGGAGGUUUGGUAGCAGAUUAAUAAACUUCAGCUUAAUGCCAUAUCCUGUACAAAACGUGACAUCAGUUGCUGAACCUGUGCUGGUCAGUUCUGAGACAACCUGUGUCAAGUAUCGUCAUACAUCAACACUGAACUUUCAAAUGGAAUACAAGUAUUCGAGAUACACGUAUGAGUGUGUGGCUACAGAAAACAACAGAGAAACAAUUGUUGGGAAUAUGACGAUAUUCACUAAACAGUGACAUGGCUGACAUUGUAGGAGACUUUGAAUAACGCCUGUUGAAUUUUUUUCUUGAAUUCAAAGUAGACAAAAUUAUGAUGCUUGUUGAUUAAAGCACACGCAGUUUUAUUCGGAAUUUGUUUAGUUUUCCUGGUAUUAUAAAAAUAACAUUUUGUAAUGAAGCUAUACAUAGAAAUGUGUAUAUUGUGUGUAGAAAAAUUAACUGAGUAGUCUAAAGUUGUAUUUUUUGCAUGAAUCAGUUUAGAGAAAAAUGUGCGUGUGUCCCCCUACGAAAACCUUAGGAUGUUUAUAAUAUCUC